ACCCUUGGGAACGCCCAAUCAGACGUUUCAUAAAGCGAUAAGAAAGACGUUCUUCGACUGCUUCUUUGCAAGGCAAAAUUGAAAGUAGAUGUGUUGCUGUGAAAGUGGUGAAGGAUAAUUAAACAUGCAUCUUAUAAACUGCGUCUGUCUGCUGCACCUGAUGCUCGUGUCAGGGGUGGGUGCGGGAAUGGACCCAAACGCAGAGUAAAAACAGAAGUCCAAAAAUGGGAAAACAAAAACUUUAAUAAAAACACGGAACAGAGGGACCCGCAAGGCAAAACUCACAAACACGAAAAUCUUCAAAAUUUCACAAGGAAAAAAAAAACAAAAAUACAAAAACCCAAAAACGAAGAAAAACAGGGCAGGCAGGCAAACA